UGGUAAUCAUCGUUGAUGAAGUAUAAAUGAUAUUUGCCUCUUUUACUCAUUCAACCAUGAGACCAGGAUGAAUUAUCGCUGCUCUACUCUGGAGCAAUCUCCAAUCAAUACUCACAUGAACACCAUAUGUUGGCACAUGCAACCCUUCUUCUAAAAUUCUUCUGGUCUUCUCAUGCUAAUCAAAGAAGACUGAGGUCUCGUCUAGAUAAUACCUUUCGGAUUAAAG